CGCGUAGGCGGAUUGGAAAGUUGGGGGUGAAAUCCCGGGGCUCAACCCCGGAACGGCCUCCAAAACUCCCAGUCUUGAGUUCGAGAGAGGUGAGUGGAAUUCCGAGUGUAGAGGUGAAAUUCGUAGAUAUUCGGAGGAACACCAGUGGCGAAGGCGGCUCACUGGCUCGAUACUGACGCUGAGGUGCGAAAGUGUGGGGAGCAAACA
rnacentral:rRNA from 1 species